ACACAUAGCGCACUGCGUGGUCGCGUCGUGUGUGUACGUCCAUUGAAAUUUUUUCUGUUUAUUUAUAUAUUUUAUUUAAAAAAUAGACUUAAAAUGAUUUUCUAUGGUGAUAUAUAUUUUGCGAGUUAGUGAAGUGCUUAAUGGAUUUUAUUUACUUGAAUACAAUGUACAGAUAAGGUGGUAAUGGCAUUUCUUCAUCUUCAACCAUGUCUCGCUUGCCACGCUCGGCCGCUGGAGCACGACACGCCGUCGACCGCGACGUUCAUACCUCCAUACCCAACUUAGCAUAAGGCUCGAGAUCAACAAAAAUAUGUAUAUUAUAUUUUUAUAUUACCGUUAAAACCGCGGAACCUAGAUUGAGUAAUUUGUGUAAUUUUGUUUUUAGUUUUUUAUUUGUGAACUAUAUUGAAAGAUACAGUUUUGCUUGCUGUAUAGAUGAAGAUGUGUUCUAGGUGGCAUCAAUAAAAUAUAUAAUAAUAAUCAGAAAGAAA